UACGUAGGGGGCAAGCGUUGUCCGGAAUCAUUGGGCGUAAAGAGCGCGUAGGCGGCCCUGUAAGUCCGCUGUGAAAGUCAAGGGCUCAACCCUUGGAUGCCGGUGGAUACUGCAGGGCUAGAGUCCGGAAGAGGCGAGUGGAAUUCCUGGUGUAGCGGUGAAAUGCGCAGAUAUCAGGAGGAACACCCGUAGCGAAGGCGGCACUCUGGGCCGAUUCUGACACUGAGGAGCGAAAGCGUGGGGAGCGAACAGG
rnacentral:rRNA from 1 species